AAAAGGAUGUUUUAGAAUAUUUGAUAGGUUCUGUGGCCUCCUGGAAAUCCUGGCUGAAAGCUGCAUGACAUUGAAGAGUGCUGGAUACCCUAACUCAACUGCAUGGAAAUUGACUUCUGGACAAAUAAAAUGGACUUACAAUCAAAAGAUUUAUUAUUCAUCAUCAGAAACAUGAACAAAUGGCCUCAGUGGUUUCCAGAAUUAUAUAAUAUAUAUCAACUAUGGAUAACUGCAA